GACGAACGCUGGCGGCGUGCUUAACACAUGCAAGUCGAACGGAAAGGCCCCUUUGGGGGUCCUCGAGUGGCGAACGGGUGAGUAACACGUGAGUAACCUGCCCUUGACUUCGGGAUAACUUCAGGAAACUGGGGCUAAUACCGGAUAGGAAUCCUUGCUGCAUGGUGGGGGUUGGAAAGCUUCGGCGGUUUUGGAUGGACUCGCGGCCUAUCAGCUUGUUGGUGGGGUAGUGGCUUACCAAGGCUUUGACGGGUAGCCGGCCUGAGAGGGCGACCGGCCACAUUGGGACUGAGAUACGGCCCAGACUCCUACGGGAGGCAGCAGUGGGGAAUAUUGCACAAUGGGCGGAAGCCUGAUGCAGCAACGCCGCGUGCGGGAUGACGGCCUUCGGGUUGUAAACCGCUUUCAGCAGGGGCGAAGCUUGUGGUGACGGUACCUGCAGAAGAAGCACCGGCUAACUACGUG
rnacentral:rRNA from 1 species